UCUUGUGGUGUAGGAAGCACAUUAGAUUUUCAAUCUUUUAGUACACUAAGGUGUUGAGAAUAAAUG
rnacentral:tRNA from 1 species